UUUUAUGGAGAGUUUGAUCCUGGCUCAGGAUGAACGCUGGCGGCGUGCCUAAUACAUGCAAGUCGAGCGAAC
rnacentral:rRNA from 3 species